GAUGAACGCUGGCGGCGUGCCUAAUACAUGCAAGUCGAACGCUGGAGAUCUAGCUUGCUAGAUCGAAGGAGUGGCGAACGGGUGGGUAAUACAUAAGCAACCUACCCACGAAGACUGGGAUAAUCUCUGGAAACGGGGACUAAUACCGGAUAGGUAAUCGGAAGGCAUCUUCUGGUUAUUAAAGGUUAAAAACACUGGUGGAUGGGCUUAUGGCGCAUUAGUUAGUUGGUGAGGUAACGGCCCACCAAGACGAUGAUGCGUAGCCGGCCUGAGAGGGUGAACGGCCACAUUGGGACUGAGACACGGCCCAGACUCCUACGGGAGGCAGCGGUAGGGAAUUUUCGGCAAUGGGGGCAACCCUGACCGAGCAACGCCGCGUGAGUGAAGACGGCCUUCGGGGUGUAAAGCUCUGUUGUAAGGGAAGAACGGUAGAUAGAGAAUAUCUAAGUGACGGUACCUUACCAGAAAGCCACGGCUAACUACGUG
rnacentral:rRNA from 1 species